rnacentral:rRNA from 1 species
GAUAAACGCUGACAGAAUGCUUAACACAUGCAAGUCGAGCGACGAAGUUUCCUUCGGGAAACGGAUUAGCGGCGGACGGGUGAGUAACACGUGGGUAACCUGCCUCAUAGAGUGGAAUAGCCUUCCGAAAGGAAGAUUAAUACCGCAUAAUGUUGAAAGAUGGCAUCAUCGUUCAACCAAAGGAGCAAUCCGCUAUGAGAUGGACCCGCGGCGCAUUAGCUAGUUGGUGGGGUAACGGCCUACCAAGGCGACGAUGCGUAGCCGACCUGAGAGGGUGAUCGGCCACAUUGGGACUGAGACACGGCCCAG